ACUGUUUUCUAAUUAUACUCAUCAUUCAGCUUCGUUUCUGCUUCCAAAGCCGAAUGAAUUACUUUGAUUUUUUUGUACCCUCCCCUCAGUUUUUUCCGUUUACUAUUAUUGACGUUUGGUGAACGUGCUUAGCCUGUUAGCUAGCUACACUUGUAUGUGUGCCGAGAGGAUGUCUAGAAGAGGCGUCGGCUGUUUUUUAAAUGCCAAAGAAACACACACAUCUAGUGUGUGUAACUGGGAUGAAGGAAACAGCACCCGGACCUAAUUAAACAAGUAGGCUAUCCACGGUCAUUGGCCGAAAAACAAAUGUUUAGCACCACACGGGAGGGUUUAAGCCUUCAAAGCAUCUUGACGCAUUUUGAUUGUCACUGCUCGGUUGUUUACCAUACCUCCACCCCCCCAUCUCUCUCCUCUCUCUUCCCCAUCAUCAUCAGCAGUAGCAGCAUCUCCUAUUGAUGCUCAGUGGAGUCAGAUGAAGGACACAACCUCACAUGAUUCACUGACUCUGUUUUCACUUGGUGCUCUGGUAACUUUAAGAAGAUGCAGGUUGGACUGUGUUCAUGCUGACGAUCAGUGUGUUGUUGUGAUAACACUAUACUCUGUUCUCAACAAGUUUCACACCGCAACUCCUGGAUUUUAAUCAGGUUUAAAUGCACCGUGCUGAGGAGAUUUACAACCAUCUUUCUUAUUCAUGUAAAAUGCAGUUUCUCCCUCCUUUCCUAUUUGGUAAUUGGGGUUAAACACUCUCGCCACCUCUAUUCCCCUCUAAAACAAUAAAGGGCAUCCCUCCAUCUAUUUCCUCGGCCCAUAAACCUGGCCAGGUCUUGUUGUGGAAAAAUGUCUUCACAACUUGAGGCUUCUUCAGUUCUGGCUCUAAGUUCUGACUGCUAAAAGUUUACAAGUCCAAAAAUAAUAACUGCCUAAGUCUCUCCAAUACAGGCAGAAAAGAGUCUAAGAGUCAAUCUUCAGAUUCAAAGAAGAUGUGUUUUAUUCCUCCACGUACAGGUCAAACACACUGAGAGAUACCCCGGGGUAUGUCUGAAGACCCUACCUGAUGCACUGGCUUUUAUACUAUUUGGCUCUGGGGCUUUCCACGCCCCAGGCCCAUCCUUCUUUUUGUGACAGGCCUCCUACCAUUAUAACAUAGGUUUCGAUUCUAAUAGUGUCUGGGCUUCUCGGUACUUUCCAAAAAAUAAUGAGGGAUGGGCAGUUUCGCCAGGUGCAGGUAGCCCUCCCUUCUCUGGCUCCAAGCUCAUCCUCAUCAACCUUUUUUUAUUCAUCUUUUACAGUGCAUCAUCUUUUCUUAGGUACAUUGGGUUACACUGACCCAGGUCACAUUGACCCAGGAGCGCAUCAUCAGAGUGCAUCAGACCUUCAUCAGGGCAUCUCUCGGUCACAAUCUCAUCAUCAUCCCGUUUUAAUGACAAAAAGUAGCAACAUGUGUAUACUAGAGCUGGCAGCGCCGGGCACCUUAAUGAGUUGCACCUGCUGGGGUGAUAAAAACAACAUACCAAGCUGGCACAGGUCACAGUGACCUGCACAUCUUUAUACACAGGGGUUCAUGUGCUUAAUGCUCAGAAGCUACCUUCUAUAUUAAUAACUAAAUAACUGAUUAAUGGUUAAAUAUUGUAGAUCAUUGGCAUUGAUGAAACUUAUUAAGAUCACACAUAAUGAUUAUUGGGAUUUUACCACUACAGUCUGAACCGCAGCCAUUUGUUCCGCGUGUUGUGUCUGCAAAAUUAGUGUAAUUGAUUGUAUUGUCGGCCGCUGCCAUUAGGCGCCCAACCCUUUCUCUCUUCCAACAUCACUUCACGAACUGUUUCUUAAUGAAUCAGGCUCAUUUACAAAAUGUGACACACAGCAAACCUUGCCACUCAUAAUGAAUUUAUUUUAGGUGGCACUAUAGGGAGAACGGCAGAAACUGGAGGCUCUGUAAUGUGAUGCAGAGUUGUAAUUUCCCCUGCUUUCUUUUGCCUAUUUUCAGCAAACCAGUCUCCUUGGGUUUUGAGCGGUGCCAGCAGCUGACAUUCAGCUCGCUGACUCCACUAAGUGUUAGAUUUCUGCAGCAAGAAGAAGAAGAAGCUGCCUAUUUCACAACCAUGUGAUGUUGUGGCCUGCUGAGUUCAGGUGCUGCAGGUGCAGUGUAUGGAAGCGCAUUAUAUUUAUCUGUGGAUGGAUCGGUCCCCAUGCUGCAGGGAUAAUCUCUGUUCAGAGGUAGUAGUCUUGGAAACCGAGCUCAGGAGACUGUGUGCUUUGUGAAAUAUAGUGUUUUUUGUAGAAGCUGUAUACGCACACACACACACACACACACACACACACACACACACACACACACACAAAUCUAGAUCAUUUGAUGUGUGGUGGGAGCUGGCAUUAAUCAUAGAAAAUUACAGACGUUAAAUAAAAAUGUGUUUAAUCAGACAUUUUUGCAGUGACGUUCUGUAUGGCAGAUGUCCCCGUCUGACUUGUAGCUUCUUGCAGACACAACCCUUGUCUUGUCAGGAUGAGUUAUGAGUUAAGAGCUGCUACUUUUCAUUCUUGGUGCCAUACAAUAGGACGAGACAUGCAGUGUCGUUGUUAAGUCUCGCACGCUUAUUGUGUAUGUCUAUUUAGACAGACGGCUUGAAAAAAAAAAGGCUUCUCCUCCUUUUACAAUGUGGUGAAACGCUGCCAAAGAACCGCGUUCCAAAUUACAUUGGUAUGAGCUUGCUGAGUGAAAUCGAAAGGAUCUGAGGAAAUUUAUAAGGUGAAGUCCAUAAAUAUAUAUUUUUUUUCCUUUUUGAGUUAUCCAUUAGAAUGUUUGUUUGCGUUCAUCUCGAGCUCAUCCUGUUGAUUUUAAUGGACAAACAGUGAGUGGGAAGGAGGUGACUGGCACCAUCUUGGCUGUUUUAUGAGCACAACAGUGGAGAACUCACUGCUUACAUUGGAUUUCACUCUAAAAGGGGGUUUGCAGUAGAUUUUUGUGCGUUGUUUGGUGUCAACUAAAUACAUUUUUAAAUUGCAUGAAUGAUAUACAAUAUAAGUUAAUUUAAGACAAACUACAUAGUUACAUAAGUCUAAAAUACCAAAGGGCUGGUAAACAACAUCAAAUGUGAUGAAUCUUAGCUAGCUAGCUGUUAUCAUUAGCCAUAGACGGUAUAUAAAAGAUGGAUGUAGUGUCGGGGUCUCAACAGUGAAGUCAGUGCGGACAUGACUUAAGACUUCAUUCUUUCUAACAGCCAGCAGGGGGCUGGUUGUUAAUAUAAAAAAAAAAAAAAAAAAAAAAAGAAAUCUGAUUCUGUGGAAGUCUAUUGGAAAUUGACCCUACUUCUCACCUGAUUUGUUUGUUGGUUUUUAUGAUUUUAUAGGUCUCAGUUGUUAGUUUCAAGUCUGUUUCAAAGUAGCAUGAUGUUCAUCUAUUAAAUUAUGGUCCAAUUUAGAGGAAAACAGAUGAUAAAGCAGGGUAUUGAAGGCCGGUCUAAUUUGUGAUCUUUAAAAAUGAAGCCUCAAAACUACAGUCACGGUUGCUACGUCUGUCUUUUGUCUACAACGUGAGGCGAUAAUGCUACUAGAGAGUAAAAUUAUACAUUCUGUAAAACAAUGGACAGCCCACAUAUUGGGGUUUGCAGGAAAAUUAUAUGCAUAUUGUCUGGUGUUAUUGUUGUUUCACAAGACAAAGUGAGUAUACGUGUUUGUUGGCAGCUAACAAUACUCCGAGGGAAAGAAUUCAUUGUCAGGUUUUGUUGGGUAAUUGGCCUGAAUGCUUUAGAAAAAAAGACAUAUUAAGAAAAAAUUAUCAUGGACAUAGAGAUGGACUCCUUGGGGUUUUAUUUAGUUGUUGUUCUUUUGCUGAUUUAUGGCUUUGUUAAGAGUCACUCUAUGCGCUGCGAAAUAUAUUCUAUUUUCUAUCUGAUUGUGGUAGCUGAUGUGAGUUCUCUUAGGAAAACCUCUGUUCACCUUGUUACCAGAUUUAAAUAUGUCUCUUCAGUCGGGUUAAUUUUCCCGAAAAAUGCAUUUUAUUUUUGCUUUUUGUUGUAAUAGUAAGUCUAUAUGCGGCUGACUUGAGGGGGUGUCAUGAAGAACACUGGAGACUAUACAUGUGUCAUAUACUUUAGGGGAAUCUUGAGUGGGACACGCCUCCAACACAGCUGUGGUCUGCUCUACUGCUAUGACUGGUGUUGUGGGCUGUAUUUUAACACUGUGACAGUUUAUGAUUGUUAUUUCACAAGAAGAUCGGUGUGACUGAAACUUUUUAAAUAAUCAACACAGAGGUGAUGUAUGUGUGCCAGACUGACUUUUCAAUAGGUUUUGAAAGAGCCUUGUUUUUGUACGUCUUACGGUACUUUGUUUUGUUAUGGAUAAAUCACAUUUUUGUCAACUGUUGUGAGAGAUUAUAUAACGUCACUUUCACACAGUGUUAACCAUAGCUGUGCAAUACUGUCGGAUUGCUCCUUUAAUUCAGUCCUCAGUUUCCAAGUUCAGCAAAGUCGUGUCACUAAGUACACUGCAAUUUCUUCUCCUGUGCUAAACUCCACGUUUAUUUUCUCCCUAAAUCUAUACAAUGUCCUUUGAUAGAAUGAUGAGUCAAGACACUUUGCUUUCUUCAAUAUGGUGGUGAAAACCUGCUCUGGACGAAUGUUGUAUAUUGCAUGUUUACAAAGAAAUGCAAAGUAUGUACUGUCCACUGUAGGACUGUGUUAUAUCGUAUUAUACAGUGCAGAAUGCUGAACAGAAAGCAUUCCUUCACCUUUUGCACACUUAGUAAAGUUUAAACAGAUUACAGUGUAAUAGAUAAUUGCUUUUUCCCCCCAUCAAGCCACAUUCAGUAAUCCAUGAUGGCAAAAUUCAUGCAAAGUCUUUAAAAAUGAAUAACUGAAAUUUCUCUGAAACAUUCUGAUUCUUUGCUUUGACACCUCCGACUGUGUUCAGGUGCAGCUUGUUUGCUUCGAUUAUCCUUAAGACGUAUGUAGAUUCUGAUCUGAGUCCCCCAGUGGUGAGCUGAAUUGACUGGACACACACCUGUGGAUGUAGGGUCCCAUGAUUCUCACCUUGUGCCAAGGUAAACGUGUUGACUGGAUUUUCUCUUCUCAGAUAGACUUUAAAGCAUUUCUAUAUGCUUCAGUGCAAAUUAUGUUGUGUAUGUAGUGUUUCUUUGAAUAAAAAUGCAUAAAAAUAAACACAACUGUAUAGAACAGAUUCAUCCAUUUCCUCAUGUUAUGACCCCAACUUUAGGAACCAAAGAUUUUGCAGAAUAUUUUUUAAAAGGUUGAGCUGAACGUAUGCCUGAAUAUUUUCCAUUCUUUUCCAGUUUUUCCUAAUGAAAACAGUGUGCAACACAUGUUUAUCACUGCGUGUAUUUUAGUGUAGAUCCGAAUCCAGAUGGAGAUGAAAAGGACUUUGGUAUCGUCUGUGAAUAUAGCCUCAGUCUAUCCUCUUGAAGUGAUUUAAACUUGCUUUGGUAUUGAUCCACUUUAGACCCGAUUCAGCCUGUACAACACCUGCUCUUCCUCUGACUCAGGCAACAUGGCCGUCAUUCACCAUGUUUGUGCGGCUUUGAUUCAUUCUGCCAGAGCGUAUUGUACUGUACACUAAUGACACACUGUGAUCCCAUUGUGCUCGAAUGUGAAAGAGGAAACAAACAGCUACAUGGAAGUACAGGUGUGGAUUGUGUUCGCUAUGGUUACAUCACUCCUGAUGUCCCUUUUGGUCACUGUCUGUCACUGUACGCUCUGUGGCCGGAGCCAUUUUGAACAGAUUUGGGCAUCUGUGCAGUAGCCAGUGCAGAGAGCUGGUGGCAGCAUCAUUUUUAAAGCUUUAAUCCUCAUCCUGUUGCAACUCUAUGUAACCUCUUAUCUCUGUUACUGAAGAAUUGCUCACUUUACUGAUCAUAAACAGACAUACUAGGAGCAAUUUACCAUUAAUAGUAGACUUCAGAGAGACUCUUUAGUUUGUUUUGUUUGUCAUCAUUCUAUAUUUGCUUCGUAAAUGACUCAGGAUAUUAAUUAUUGAUUGUUCAGUCUUAAUCUGAGCAUUUAAACUUUCAAUACCUCGAUCUUGUCCAGUAACUGCAGCAGUACUUUUUUCCCUGGUUCUGUUCUCUCAAAUGAAAGUAUUUUGCUGGUUGUCUUGAUGACCUAUGACAGUAGUUUGGAUAUUUUUGGGUUGGGCUGCAAAAUUAAUCAAAUAUUAAUCUCGACCACAAUUUCGGCUUCCUGCAAUUAAAUGAACAUGAUCCACUGUGAUAUUGACCGUUUUAAAAUGUGUGCUCUGCUCAUCGAAAACUCUGCUGCAUAUCAAAUCAAGCACUUCCUAAACUAACAGACGGCCACCAGGGAGCGACUGAGAUGUUUUGCUUCACUUUUGGGCAGCUGUGCUACUUGUGCAAAAAAUUUUAUGGAUGAUGUAGAAGAGCAAUGUAAGAGAGACAGCAGAUGGGCAAAAUCUAAUGACUGGAGCAGGAAGUGAGGAGCUUCAAAAGUGAUUUUAAAACAGAUCUUCACUCAUUGUUUGUGUUUCAGAUUUAGUGCAAGUGAUGCUAAGCAAGAACAAAUCAUAUACAAAGUGCGUAGGAGACUUGUGUCUGUGCGGUAAAACAACACAACUAACUUGUUUAGCCACCUGACAAAAUACUACAAACUCUGGUACAAUGAAUGCAAAUAAAUGUAAAGAAGAAUAACGUUGCUAAUAUUAACUCGCUGAGUCCUUGUGCAGCAUCAACUAAGAUACUGUGUCCAUAACAACGACGCUGUACAAUUUGCCACCAUAUUGUACAGCAUGAAGGUGAAAGCAGCUCUGGUGAUUUUCAUUUGGGUGACCAUUUUAGUAAAAUCUUAUUUAUAUUUUAGAUUCCAGGAGAUGUGAAUGGACACUUAAUUAUUUAAUUGCAAAUAUUUCUAUAUUUGCAGGUACAGAAGUCAUUGAAUAACCGUGGAAAAAAAUGCAAAUAUCACUUUGGUCAUAAUUUUGCAGUCGAAUCUUUGGGUUUUGGACUUUUGAUGAUUAACUUUUGUCAAUUUUUUUUGUGAUUUUACAAAUGAAAAUAUAUUCGCAGAUUAGUGCAUUAUGAAAAUAAUAGGUAGUUGCAACAUCAACCAAUACUACUCAAGGGUUUGUGGUUACAAAGUGUUUCAGUCAAGUUGGUGACAGGAAACAAGUUCAUUAGGAAUCUGACUCUGGUUGUCAGUAGAAAUCAAUAUACACUGUCUUGCAAACAUUGUAGGUCCCCCUUGUGCUGCCAAACAGCAGUGGACCAUCGAAACAUAAAAUCUGGGGGCCUUUGCCGUCUAACACUUGGUUUGUUGGCAGUGGACCCUUUAGACCUUGUGACCUGUGGGGUAGGGCCUCCGUGGAUCAGGCUUGUUUCGGGCAUUCCACUGUUGAUUAGAUUGGGAUCAAGUUUUGAUGUUAGUUUAGCACCUUGGGCUCUUGGUCCUAUUCCUCGAGCUGUUCCUGAGCCGUGUAAAAGUGUAGCAUGCUGCAUUAUCCUUUCCACGAGGUAGGUGCUUGGUCUACAGCAAUGUUUAGGUGGAUGGUGCGCGUCAAAGUCACAUACAUGAAUGCCAGGAAUUGAGUUUUCCCAGCAGAACAUUGCACUGUAACAAGAUGAUAAAUGAUGUUCACUUCACUUGUCAGUGGUUUCAGUGUUGUUGCUGAGUAUACAAGGAGUUUAUACCUGCCUGUUUCUGUGCAGUGAGCUUCAAGCAAACUCAUGUCUGCACAAGUGAUUAAGUGUAACUCCUUCUGCAUGUCAUUUAGAACAGGUGGAGUAAACCUCCAUCUCCUCUUCGAGAGAUCUUUGCCCAGGAUUUGAUCGCGUCACAUGGAGCUUGCGGUGGGUCAGAUGGGCCCGGCUCAUGCAUUUCGUGUUGAGGGGGUUACAGUCAGCCGCUCCUCCACUCUCAGCGUCACGCCAAAACCACAGAGGUCAGAAAGACACCACAACAAUGCUGUCCUUUGUGUCACGCUUCCAGUGGAGAGAGAUGAAAUCGCUGCCUCUUCUCUCUCUCACUCUUUGUGCCUUUUUAUUCCCUGCUUUGGUGGCUGAAUCGUGAUGUACGUGCAAGCUCAAAUGAAGUUAUUGUUACAGAUGAGUAAAUGUUGAGCCACGGAUGAAUGCAGGCUACGACAGAGCCAGCGGGGAUGUACGCUGACAUGUGAGAGCAGAGCUACACAUCAUAUGAUUGCCUCUGUUAGCCUGCAGUCCCUCCAGCAUCUUCCCAUCACAACUGCUAGUUUUCUUCUCUGCUAAUUAAAAACAGAGGUUCGACUUCACUUUUUUGACACUUACUACAUGAUCCAUCAGCUUCAUUAAAAAAAAAAAAGGGAAUGUUUAUGAGCAAGGCAUAUGCCACUGGGUCACUGUUGCAAUGAUAUCAGGGGAGGAAAUGGUGUGUGAAAGCGAUACACUUGCAUGAAAGCUUGUCAAAACGGGGCCCGUGGAGAUGUCUGUCUUAGGGGUGCUUCUUCAAAGGAAUUCAAUUAACAGGAGUUGUUUGUCUUGCUUCAAGGAGCUGGGCUAACACAGAUCCUAUCACGCUGAUCACAACACACACAAACCCCCUUAUCAGCCCAGCACUUCUACCUGUCGCAGCUCAUCUUUGUGUUUGCUUACGGUGUGCUAGAACUGUGCAAAGUCAGUCAGUGGCCGUCAAGUGUGGCUUCAUUUCCUCUGAAAAGAAUCGCACUUGCUCAUUUACAUCUGGAGUACAGGCGAGGCACGAAAGCACCAGUGAGCUCGGCUUCCUCUCAUAUCCUGCUCAACAUUUUCCAUUUUUAAUCUCCCUCGCUUUUUUUCUUAAUCUCUCCAAUUCCAUUUAGGUCUCAAGUCCAUUUAGCCUUUAUUCGUGAGUUCAACAGUGCACUGGAGCGCCUCGGUCUAUAUUUAAAACCUCACCGCUGAAUAAAUCGAGCAGAAAUCUUUUAAGUCUGCCAGCCACCACCCAACCUGAAAGUUUAUACUGCUGCUGAAGCAGAGGAACAGCAAUGGUAGGUUCCUGUAACAGGUUUCAGCCAUAUGCAGGCAGCUGAGCAGCUCGCAAUAGAUCCCUGGCAGCUCCGAGUACCACAGAGUUAUAAGUGCUGCCAUGCUUUAUGCUUCCUCAGACUUUGUCCCAAACUGCAGAUUAGUACUAAAAAAGUAUGCAGUAGCAUUUAGAUUUUUUUUCAAGUAUGUCCCACCUUCCAGGCUGCCUUUGCUUUGCAGUCAUUUCACUGAAGGAUUAUGCAUGCAGACUUCUCAAAUAUGCAUUUACAGCUUUGCAUCGAUAGUGUGCGUUUGACAAAAAUAUAAGCAGCCGGAGAGUUAAUGGGCAAAGUUAAUGGGCAGCUAACAGGUGAGAAAUUUUUUUAAAAAUCCACACUUUUUUCUGUUUCUGUGACAGUAUUCUCUAAAGACCAGCAUCUGAAGCAGCUACAGCCAGCAGGUUUUCACAUGUAUUUUGCAACAGAGUUAGAAAAGCAAGUCUUUCUUCAGUGGCAUUUUUUUUUUGAAGGAAUUGAAUAAAGCACAUGACAGCAUUUGGUGAGUCUCCCUUGAGAAACACUUUUGGCACUUUAACCUUGCAAAAAAUCUUUGUCAGCAUGGAGCCCGAUAGAUGAAUCAGAAAUUGAUGUUUCCUUAUUGCAAAUGCAGGACAUGUCAGUGCUCUGCCCUGAAAACACUACAUAUAUAAAAGUUCCAGUUUUUAAGUCACCUCAGACAUGUAUUUUUAAUCUUUUAGUAGCACUGAAUCAAAAUAUAAUCAAAUUACAAUAAUGACAGCUACAAUUGUUAAGUUAUGGGAGGUGCAAUUUUUAGUAAAGGUAGAAUGCAUCACAACAAGCUAUUUUAGCUAAAAUGUGGUGCUACAGAAAUCCUCAGUCUAUAAAUCUUAUUCUCUGUUUAGUACAGACAACAGCAAAAUCACUGAAUUUUUUAUGUGCAAAAAUUACCAUCCCGAUUGAAAUCAUUACUCAUAUCGCAAUAUCUCCCAUUUUUAUUCUGCAGGUUCUUGUUACAUUUCAGUUGAUCUAUGAGUAUGUUUCCUCAGGAAAUUGUUUCACAGAGGUGGUAGGUGCCAAUGUACCAAAGAUGAGUAACACAAGACUUUAAAAUAAAGUAAUCAUUUCCUUUGACGUCAGUGUGAAGACUUUAUUUUAGGUGCAGGGUGACUGCUGUAAAAGGCUGCUUUGCACUCUGCACAGACUAUAAUCUAACUAUAAUUUCAGCUCACAUAUAAGUGGGGCUCCAGUUUACAAAUUUAUGAUAAAUCCAUAUUUGAGGUAUUUAGUAAAGCAUUGUAUCAUUUGUAUAAUUUGUAGGAAAUCCCUCCUAGUACAUAUGUUUUCUUCAUUAACUGAAAUAUUACUUAAGCAAUUGAAAUAUUGUUAGCAUACUUGCCAACUCUUGAGUAACCAGACUCUAGCUCUAAUGAGUAUUUUGGUCAAAGAGUUAAAUCAUUAAGUGAAGCAGAAGUAAACAGGAGCGUGGGUGGAAUAACAGUCGACAUCAACUUUGUAGAUGUUUGUUCAGAAAACAGCUGUCAAAAUUCAUCAGAUGUGUCAAGCUGAUUAUGUGUAGUGAAUUGUGUUUAAUAGUGGAGUCUUGUCUUUUUGCUACGGUAUAAAGUGUACAGGUUUUUUAGUGUUAAAAUAGAAUUAUAGAAUUGGAAUCAGUUUUAUUAUCAAGUUCACAUACGAGGAAUUUUUUGCAUUGCAAGUCUAUGGACAGCAGAUGUUGCAAGUCAAAUCAAAAGUAAAUGUCAUAGACCAAAUAAUUUUAAAAGUAACAGAAGUGUUUACAUUGUGCAAAUUCUUCACCUGAGAAUGUACGAGGAUGCAUAGUGUGAAUGAUGAUUUCGUCUAAAAAACGUCAUAGUAUAGCAUGUCAUCCAAAAAACGUCAUAGAACAGCAUGGCGCCCAAAAAAUGUCAUAGCAUGUCGUCCAAAAAACAUCAUAGUAUAGCAUGUCGUCCAAAAAAUGUCAUAGAAUGUCAUCCAAAAAACAUCAUAGUAUAGCAUGUCGUCCAAAAAAUUUCAUAGCAUGUCAUCCAAAAAAUAUCAUAGAACAGCAUGUCGUCUAAAAAACGUCAUAGUAUAGCAUGUCGUCCAAAAAAACAUCAUAGAACAGCAUGUCGCCCAAAAAAUGGCAUAGUAAAAUGUCCAAAAAACGUCAUAGAACAGCAUGUUGCCCAAAAAAUGUCAUAGCAUGUCGUCCAAAAAACUUCAUAGCAUAUCAUGUCCUCCAUAACAGUGACAGUUUAGCAUGUUGUCCAAAAAAUAUCAUAGAACAGCAUGUCAGCCAAAAAAAGUCAUAGUAUAGCAUGUCGUCCAAAAAAUCGUCACAGUAUAGCGUGUCGCUCUAAAAACGUCAUAGUAUAGCAUGUUGCUCAAAAAACAUCAUAGUAUAGCAGGUCAUCCAAAAAACGUCAUAGUAUAGCAUGUCACUCUAAAAACAUCAUAGUACAGCACGCCGUCCAAAAAAGCGUCAUACUAUAGCAUGUCGCUCAAAAAUCAUCAUCGUAUAGCAUGUCGCUCAAAAAACACCAUAGUAUAGCCUUUGGUCCAGAAAACAUCACAGUAUAGCCUUUGGUCCAAAAAAACGUCAUAGUAUAGCAUGUCGCCCAAAAAACGUCAUAGCAUAGCAUAUUGCUCAAGAAAUGUCAUAGUAUAGCAUGUCGCUCUAAAAAACGUCAUAGUAUAGCAUGUCAUCCAAAAAACAUCAUAGUAUAGCAUGUCGUCCAAAAAACGUCAUAGUAUAGCAUGUCGUUCAAAGAACGUCAUAGUAUAGCAUGUCCAAAAGAUAUCAUAGAAUAGCAUGUCACUCUAAAAACGUCACAGUAUAGCCUUCGGUCCAAAAAACGUCAUAGUAUAGCAUGUCGUCCAAAAAACGUCAUCGUAUAGCAUGUCGCUCUAAAAACGUCAUAGUAUAGCCGUCGGUCCAACAAACGUCAUAGUGUAGCAUGUCAUCCAAAAAAUGUCAUACUAUAGCAUUUCACUCAAGAAACGUAAUCGAAUAGCAUGUCGCUCAUAAAGACCAUGGUAUAGGCUUUGGUCCAAAAAACAUCACAGUAUAGCCUUUGGUCCAAAAAACGUCAUAGUAUAGCAUGUCGUCCAAAAAAUGUCAUAGUAUAGCAUGUCACUCUAAAAACGUCACAGUAUAGCAUGUCGUUCAAAAAAUAUCUUAGAAUAGCAUGUCGCUCAAAAAACGUCAUAGUAUAGCAUGUCGCUCAAAAAACGUCAUAGUAUCGCAUGUUGCUCUAAAAACAUCAUAGUAUAGCAGGUCAUCCAAAAAACGUCAUAGUAUAGCAUGUCACUCUAAAAACAUCAUGGUAUUGCAUGUCGUCCAAAAGACGUCAUAGUAUAGCAUGUCCCCCCAAAAAACAUCAUAGCAUAGCAUAUUGCUCAAAAAAUGUCAUAUGAUAGCAUGUCGCUCUAAAAAACGUCAUAGUAUAGCAUGUCGUUCAAAGAACGUCAUAGUAUAGCAUGUCGUUCAAAGAACGUCAUAGUAUAGCAUGUCGCUCUAAAAACGUUAUAGAAUAGCAUGUCGCUCAAAAAACGUCAUAGUAUAGCAUGUCCAAAAGAUAUCAUAGAAUAGCAUGUCACUCUAAAAACGUCACAGUAUAGCCUUCGGUCCAAAAAACGUCAUAGUAUAGCAUGUCGUCCAAAAAACGUCAUCGUAUAGCAUGUCACUCUAAAAACAUCAUGGUAUUGCAUGUCGUCCAAAAAACGUCGUAGUAUAGCAUGUCCCCCAAAAAACAUCAUAGCAUAGCAUAUUGCUCAAAAAAUGUCAUAUUAUAGCAUGUCGCUCUAAAAAACGUCAUAGUAUAGCAUGUCGUUCAAAGAACGUCAUAGUAUAGCAUGUCGCUCUAAAAACGUCAUAGAAUAGCAUGUCGCUCAAAAAACGUCAUAGUAUAGCAUGUCGCUCAAAAAACGUCAUAGUAUCGCAUGUUGCUCUAAAAACAUCAUAGUAUAGCAGGUCAUCCAAAAAACGUCAUAGUAUAGCAUGUCACUCUAAAAACAUCAUGGUAUUGCAUGUCGUCCAAAAAACGUCAUAGUAUAGCAUGUCCCCCAAAAAACAUCAUAGCAUAGCAUAUUGCUCAAAAAAUGUCAUAUUAUAACAUGUCGCCCAAAAAACAUCAUAGCAUAGCAUAUUGCUCAAGAAAUGUCAUAGUAUAGCAUGUCGCUCAAAAAACGUCAUAGUAUAGCAUGUCGCCCAAAAAACAUCAUAGCAUAGCAUAUUGCUCAAGAAAUGUCAUAGUAUAGCAUGUCGCUCUGAAAAACAUCGUAGUAUAGCAUGUCGCUCUAAAAACGUCACAGUAUAGCAUGUCAUUCUAAAAACGUCACAGUAUAGCUUGUCGCUCUAAAAAACAUCAUAGUAUGGCAUGUCACUCAAAAAGCAUCAUAUAGCAUGUCGCUCUAAAAAACUUCAUAGUAUAGCAUGUCACUCUAAAAACGUCAGUGUAGCACGUCGCUCAAAAAACAUCAUAGUAUAGCAUGUCGCUCUAAAAAACGUCAUAGAAUAGCAUAUCGCUCAAAAAACGUCAUAGCAUAGCAUGUCGCUCUAAAAACGUCAUAGAAUAGCAUGUCGCUCAAAAAACAUCAUAGUAUAGCAUGUUGCUUAAAAAACGUCAUAGUAUAGCAUGUCGCUCAAAAAACGCCAUAGUAUAGCAUGUUGCUCUAAAAACGUCAUAGUAUAGCAUGUUGCUUAAAAACGUCAUAGUAUAGCAUGUCGCUCAAAAAACGGCAUUGUAUAACAUGUCAAAAAAAAAGCGGUUUUUCAACGUGCCAUAAAAUGAAAUAAUGUAAAGCAGGCUGCGAAAAACACUCCAGAAAGGUCUUGUUGGAAAAAAAAAAAUCAUCAUGAAUUUUAGCGCAAAAAAACGCCAUAGUAUACUAUGUCGAGGAAAAAAAUGCGAUUUUUCAACAUGUUGUAAAAGCGUGCCAUAUGAUGAAAUAAUGUAAAGUAGGCCGUGAAAAACGCUCCAGAAAGGUUUUCUUUGGAAAAAAAAUCAUCAUGAAUUUUGGUGCAAAAAAAUGCCAUAGUAUACUAUGUCGAAAAAAAAUGCAAUUUUUCAACAUGUUGUAAAAACGUGCCAUAUGAUGAAAUAAUGUAAAGGAGGCCAUUAAAAACGCUAUGGUAAAGUUUUCUUUGAAAACAAAAUCAUCAUGGAUUUUGGCAGAAAAAAAACGCCAUAGUAUACUAUGUUGAAAAAUGUCAUUUUUCAACAUGUGAAAACAUGCCAUAUGAUGAAAUAAUGUAAAGUAGGCCGUGAAAAACACUCCAGAAAGGUUUUCUUUGAAAUAAAAAUCAUCAUGAAUUUUGGAGCAAAAAAACGCCGUAGUAUACUAUGUCGAAAAAUGCGAUUUUUCAAUGUUGUGAAAAUAUGCCAUAUGAUGAAAUAAUGUAAAGCAGGCUACGAAAAACACUAUGGUAAGGUUUUCUUUGAAAAAAAAAAUCAUCAUGGAUUUUGGCGCAAAAAAACAUCAUAGUAUACUAUGUCGACAAAAAAAUGUGAUUUUUCAACAUGUUGUAAAAACGUGCCAUAUGAUGAAAUAAUGUAAAGUAGGCUGUGAAAAACACUCCAGAAAGGUAUUCUUUGAAAAAAAACAUCAUCAUGGAUUUUGGCGCAAAAAAACUCCAUAGUAUAGCAUGUCGCUCUAAAAACGUCAUCGUAUAGCCUUUGGUCCAGUAAACGCCAUAGUAUAGCAUGUCGCUCAUAAAACGUCAUCGUAUAGCCUGUCGUCCAAGAAACAUCAUAGUGUAGCAUGUCAUACAAAAAAAGUCAUAGCAUGUCACUCAAAAAACUUCGUAGUAUAGCAUGUCGCUCAAUAACGUCAUCGUAUAGCCUUUGAUCCAAAAAACGUCAUAGUAUAGCAUGUCGCCCUUAAAACGUCAUAGUAUAGCAUGUCGUCCAACAAACGUCAUAGUAUAGCAUGUCGCUCAAAAAACGUCAUAGUAUAGCCUUUAGUCCACAAAACGUUAUGUCCUGGCUGUCUGAAGUAGGUGAGGAGCAACACAAAAACAGUCCAAACGCUGGUUUCCAGAGGGUUAGACGAGUAUUUAUUUGAAAGAGUAAGUUUACAACAACACAACAUGUGAGGGGGUUAAAAGCAAAUGGGUGUUAGUAAAAUAAAAAUAAAUAAACAGAACUAAAAGUGAACUUCCUGUUGACAUUGAUGGGCAUUCCAACCAGGAACAAAGUACAAGAUCAAUACGAAAAAAACUCUUCCUGUUCACCUCUUAAAACCCAAAAACACACCGCAGUAGCAGCCUAAACUAAAACUACCGAUGGGUUCCCUGUUUUCCUUUCUGAACAACUCAAAGGUCCCUCUCUAUCUCCCCACACAUCCACCAACCACUGGAACACAUCUCCAAAGUUCUGCUGGGCCAGCUCAGCUUCCCCUCAGAAGAAGUGCUGCCACCUGCCAGAUGAAGGAGCCUUUUGAGAGGCAGCUGGCAUCGUGAUUGGACUGUACUUUGGUCUGUUCCAAUCCAGCUUCAGCUCCAGAGACGGCAGGCGGGACGAGUCAACGGAGGCCUGGUGGACGAAGGCAUGCAGCUGAGUACAAUCCAGAAAACAACAGAGGAGGAGUGCAGCAGCCCAGAGCCAGAACAAACAGAGUAGCAUGACCAAAGAACUACAGACUCUUCACAACCUUCUCAAACUCUUGGUACAGGACCUCACCACAUGGAUCAAGAAGGUUUCAAUCUCAUUUCUACUCUGAAGCUCACCUUCUCCUGCUCAAACUGCUGACAAAUGUUUCUGCUGCUCUAAAGUCUGGUCUCCAGAACUUCCUAAAAACUCUCAACGUCUCUUCUGCUGCAGGUUGCUUUGUAGAACUGUCGCAGAAAACCUCACUAAACCACAUGGAGGGGCCUCAAGAUAGUCGUCCAAAUUAAACCGUACAAAAACCAAACUAGCACAACCCAAAUGCUAAAGUCUCCUGCAGCCUACCAGAGAACCUCUGAGAACAGAGAAUCAGGACAGUAACUCUUACCUUCUGGACAACCAACGUUGGUUCUCAAGCAAGAAUACAGAAUGUGUCUGACCAAACACCUCUAAAGACUCACUACAGCCAAGAUAAAGAUACAACUCACCUGCACCAAAUCCACUAAUCACUGCACACAUUAGCACCAUGUGCUAACUGUGGCUAAAGAACCACAUUUACCAAGACAACUAUCCAGUACAAAGCCCUAAAACACACCAAGAAACACAUUAAAGAUGAUUUUACUGCUGGAAGCUGCAAGCCAACGUCUAUAAAGAACAAACUAAAGCAAUGGAGCCAAACCCGAUUCAGUGGUGAAUAGAAACAGAGGAAAUGUUUGUCUGCAGCUAAAUAAAGCAGGAAGAGACUGAGCUGCUCAGGUGUUCCUGAUAACACCAAGCAGCCACCUGGACAGCCAAUAGGAACACAGCUUACUGGAAGUCCAGAGGGCGGGGUUAGUCAAGUAAAUUUAGUUUAAAGUUGAAGCAGAAAGUUAAAGAAAGUUGAAAACCACCUUCUGAUACCUGAAAUCUCUGAGUUUUCACACAAAGAACACCUGAACAUGUCAAACUGGUUCCAUAGUAGAACCAUCAUUGUAAAAACGUCAUAGUAUGGUGUGUUGCUCAAAAAACAUUAGGACCGGGUUGUCUAGGGUCGCCGAGGAGCAACACAAAAACAGGACAAACGCUGGUUUCCAGGGGGUUAGGAGGCUAUUUAUUUGAAAGAGUAAGUUUACAACACAACAUGUGAGCAGAAAAAUCACAAAAUCUGUCUUUAGUUCAGCUGAAAAUGUUAGUUUUUGUCUUUUUUAUUGACCAAACUUUUCAGGAAGUAGAUGAAGAAUAAUUGAAGCUCUCAUGUAUAAGUCCAACUUAUUUUGGAUCCUUGUGGAGAGUUUAAUCUUAGAGUUUGUAAAGCUGUUGAGUUUUUAGAGUCACAUGGAUUGUUUUGACAUUUAAUAACAGAGUCCUGAAAUAAAAUUACAGUUGUGGAUUUUUGUUGUUUAGUCUGGAGUAAACAAAUAACAGCAGCACAAAUCUCAAACGUCAUUAUGAGGAGUCUGGAUUGAGGUUUCUCACUUGAUAAUGAUCAAAACAUGAAAUUUAGGUUGGUUUAAAGGAAUAUUCCACCUUAAAUCUUUGAAUGUUGACUUAAAAGGUUGGUUUCAGGAAGUAUUCCACCUACAAGGUCCUCACACAUCCACCUUAAAGGAACAUUCCACCAAAAAUCCUUGGACAUGCACCUAAAAUGUUGGAGUAUUCCAUCCAAAAUCCUCAAAGAGACCUGAGGGGCUGGUUAAAAGGAAUAUUCCACCUAAAACCCCAAAUAUAGACCCGAAAGUGUGGUUUAGAAAAAAUCCUUCUAUGUAGACCA